rnacentral:rRNA from 1 species
CUGCUCAGUAACACGUGGACAACCUACCCUCAGGACAGGUAUAAACCCGGGAAACUGGGUAUAAUCCCUGAUAGUCCUCGACUGCUGGAAUGCAUCGAGGCCGAAAGCUCCGGCGCCUGAGGAUGGGUCUGCGGCCUAUCAGGUAGUAGUGGGUCUAAAGUACCUACUAGCCUACGACGGGUACGGGUUGUGAGAGCAAGAGCCCGGAGAUGGAUUCUGAGACACGAAUCCAGGCCCUACGGGGUGCAGCAGGCGCGAAAACUUUACAAUGCCGGCAACGGCGAUAAGGGGACCUCGAGUGCCAGGUUACAAAUCUGGCUGUCGUGAUGCCUAAAAAGCAUUGCAUAGCAAGGGCCGGGCAAGACCGGUGCCAGCCGCCGCGGUAACACCGGCGGCUCGAGUGGUAACCGUUAUUAUUGGGUCUAAAGGGUCUGUAGCCGGCCGGAUAAGUCUCUUGGGAAAUCCAGCAGCUCAACUGUUGGGCUUCCAGGAGAUACUGUCUGGCUCGAGGCCGGGAGAGGUGAGAGGUACUUCAGGGGUAGGGGUGAAAUCUUGUAAUCCUUGAAGGACCACCAGUGGCGAAGGCGUCUCACCAGAACGGACCUGACGGCAAGGGACGAAAGCUAGGGGCACGAACCGGAUUAGAUACCCGGGUAGUCCUAGCCGUAAACGAUACUCGCUAGGUGUCG